GGCGUGUGACGGAAUGACGUCACUGUUUUCUUCCGGCGCAGACGCAGGCAGGACCGAGUCCGAGCUGAAUCGAUCGGUUCUGAUACAAAGUGCCGUUAUGGACCUUCAUACACUUUACUUCAUAAACUCGUUUCAAGGAAUUAUUGUCGAGGCAUCAGAGAACGUUUAGAAAGGAGCCGCCAUGUUGGUGCUGUGUAAAGUCAAGAGACACGAGAGAGAAGAUGAUCCUGCUGCUCCUCAUCCUCACCUCCUCAGCAGCAGCACUUGAAGUGAAGGAGACACAGAGCUCCUAUCAGGCAGAGGAGAACCACAACAUCACACUGGAGUGGACGUUCCCUACUGACAGUGCCUCCAAUAGACUUUCUAUUUUCUGUGAACUGAUUGUUGAUCAUAAAUACUUUGUCCUGUAUGAUGUCUAUGCUGGAGAGGAGAAGCCAGACUCUCAGCAUAAACGUUUUUCAGGAAGAGUCCAGAGUGACACAGACGCCCUCAGAGAAGGACGAAUCAGACUUCAUCUGUCCAGACUCAGGACUGAAGACUCUGGUCUGUAUGUGUGUGAUGUGAGGACAGCUUCUGGUUCUGGUUCUUCCAGCUGUGAGCUCACAGUCUCUGCAGCUGCUGCUGAGACACACACUGACAGACCAGCUCUGAGUCCAGCUCUGGGUCCACCAGCAGGGAGAGGAGGACAGACAAGACACCAUUAUGGACCGAUAGUAGCAGGAGUUUUAUUGUUUAUCUGUGUUAUAAUUAUGUGCAUUAUCACAUGGAGAAGUAGACAAACGUCUGACUCAGAGAGAGAACCCAUCAGGACAAACAGGACUCCACUCUAUCAAGAGAUGUGUCCAAGAGCCUGAGUCCAAGAAACUGACUCGCAAAUUAGUUUCAGCUAAGACUUCAAUAGGAACUCCUCCGGCCUAACAGUUUCACCUAACAGAGGCUGACUGACCUGGAUGGACACUAGUUUUUUGAAGUUUACUGUUGCAGUAAAUCAGCACACUUCUGAAAUCUAUCUUGGAGAGUUUUCCUUCGACCAAUAGGGGGCAGCAGAGGGUGUAACUACAAACAAGUGCUGUCAUAUUCUCCAUAUAAUGCUCUUCAGGUUACCAUUUAAAUAAAUUCAGGAUGAGAAUGCA
rnacentral:lncRNA from 1 species